rnacentral:rRNA from 1 species
AUUGAACGCUGGCGGCAUGCCUUACACAUGCAAGUCGAACGGCAGCACGGGAGCAAUCCUGGUGGCGAGUGGCGAACGGGUGAGUAAUAUAUCGGAACGUGCCUUUCAGUGGGGGAUAACGUAGCGAAAGUUACGCUAAUACCGCAUAUUCUGUGAGCAGGAAAGCAGGGGAUCGCAAGACCUUGCGCUGAUUGAGCGGCCGAUAUCAGAUUAGCUAGUUGGUGAGGUAAAGGCUCACCAAGGCGACGAUCUGUAGCGGGUCUGAGAGGAUGAUCCGCCACACUGGAACUGAGACACGGUCCAGACUCCUACGGGAGGCAGCAGUGGGAAUUUUGGACAAUGGGCGCAAGCCUGAUCCAGCCAUGCCGCGUGAGUGAAGAAGGCCUCGGUUGUAA